rnacentral:tRNA from 1 species
AUUCAGGUAGUUUAAAAAAAAUAUUGAUUUGUGGUGUCAAAGAAAUAAUAAUUAUUCUGAAUC